AAACAAUAAAAAUAACACUCAGCCUCGCCGCGUGAGGUCGGCGCGAGAAUCGGCGGGGGCAGCCGCGGGGCCUCGGGGGCGGAAGACGCACUCAGUGGGGAAGAGCGCGCGGCCGGGCCCCAGGGCGGAAGUCCCUGGUGGAGGUGAAGUCCGAGGAGGAGGAAGAGGAGGAGGAGAAAAAGGAGGAGGAGGGCUCAGCGGUCUCGAAGCUGCGGCCCAGGCGGGGCAGGAGAUGUGAAGAUGCCAGGUCCCCGGGGAGGGCAAAGGGCGUGCGGGCCGUAAGGGACAGCAGAGCGGUCGGGGCCGCCCACCCGGCGGACGCCGGAGGCGAGAGGCCCCACCCCGGCUCCUCUCCACACCCCGCGCGGCCUUGGGGAGUCAGCCCGGGACUCGCUCCCGGCAGGUGUCCUACCCUCCCCCGGUCCCGGUUGGCGCGGCGGCCGGCACGGCGGGCGCGGAGGGGGCCGCGCUGGUGUCACCAGGAGUGAACAGCCCAGCUAUUCAGGGAGGGGGCGCCCCCCGCUGCCCUCCGCGACCCGCGCUGACGUCGCCGCGCAGCCCGUUACGUAACCCCCCUCCCCGCCUUUCCUCGCGGGCCCGGCCUCCUCCUCCAGCGCCGCCUCGCCUGCCGCAGCGCCUCCGCGUUCCGCUUUGCGCCCAAAGGGAAACUGAGGCCCUUCUCCAGCAGAGCACGGCGGGUAGUGCCCGCGGGAGUGGCUGUGACCGUCCUCGUUAGGAUUCUUGGGUCCCUAGGGGAGCCCAGACUGCGAAGGGAGCCCCAGCUCCGCCUGGGGGACUCGGCUUCCUCCUGUCUACCGCGUUCUUCCUUCCUGGCCUGGACUCUGGGGGCUCUGGAGUCUUCUGUGGCCGCUCCACCCACAUUUGUGCCUGGGCCACCAUGUGCCUUAAAUUAUAAAGUCGGGCAGUGACGCUCAGUAGGGGUUGGUUUCUCCACCUUCCUCUGGGUGACCUUAGGCAGAUUUUGCCUCUCCGAACCUCAGUGUCCCCACCUGUCUAAAAUGGCCCCUUCCUUCUAGUGUGGUGGGGAAGAACAGCAGCAUGUCGACACCCGGGACUCACUCGAUUCCCCAGGGUGGAGUGCAGCGGUACGAUCAUGGUUCACUGCACCCUCGAUCUUCUGGGCUCAGGUGAUCCUCCCCGCUCAGCCUCUGAAGUAUCUGGGACUACAGGUAGGCACCAUACCUGGCUUAAUUUUUAAAAAGGUUUUUGUGGUUUAGCUGGGCUUGGUGGUGUGUGCCUGUAAUCUCAGCUAUUUGGGAGGCUGAGGCAAGAGAAUCACUUGAACCUGGGCGACAGAGAUUGCAGUAAGCCAAGAUGGCACCAUUGCACUCCAGCCUGGGCGACAGAGCAAAAUUACAUCUCAAAAAAAAAGAAAAUUCUGUAGAGAUAGGAUCUUGCUAUGUUGCCCAGGCUGGUCUCAAACUCCUGGACCCAAGUGAUCCUCCCACCUUGGCCUGCCAAAUACUUGGGAUUAUAGGCAUGAGCCACUGCACCUCACAAAGACUUGCAUGCACUUGGCCUUGCAUGCAAGUCUUUAUAAGGACAUAACGUUUAUUUCCUUCCCCCUUUUUUUUUUUUUUUGAGACGGAGUCUCGCUCUCAUUGCUCAGGCUAGAGUGCAGUGGUGCUAUCUCGGCUCACUGCAAUCUCUGCCUCCUGGGUUCAAGUGAUUCUCCUGCCUCAGCCUCCCAAGUAGCUGGGAUUACAGGCGCCAGCCACCACGCCCGGCUAAUUUUUGUAUUUUUAGUAGAGAUGGGAUUUCACCAUGUUGGCCAGGCUGGUCUUGAACUCCUGACCUCAGGUGAUUGGCCCACCUUGGCCUCCCAAAGUGUUGAGAUUAUAGGCGUGAGCCACCUCACUAGGCCUUAUUUCUUUUUCCUUUUUUUGUUUUUUGAGACGGAGUCUUGCAUCUCGCUCUGUCGCUCAGGCGGUAAUACAGUAGCAAGUUCUCUGCUCACUGCAACCUCCACCUCCUUGGUUCAAGCAAUUCUCCUGCCUCAGCCUCCUGAGUGGCUGGGACUCCAGGCGUGUACUCCUACGUCCGGCUAAUUUUUUUUUUUUUUUUGAGAUGGAGUCUCACUCUGUCGCCAGGCUGGAGUGCAGUGGCACGAUAGCGGCUCACUGUAACCUCCGCCACCGGGGUUCAAGUGAUUCUCCUGCCUCAGCCUCCCGAGUAGCUGGGACUACAGGUGCGUACCAUCACGCCCAGCUAAUUUUUGUAUUUUUAGUGGAGAUAGGGUUUCACCGUGUUGGCCAGGAUGGUCUCGAUCUCUUGACCUCAUGAUCCACACACCUCAGCCUCCCAAAGUACUGGGAUUACAGUCGUGAGACACUGUGCCCAGCCUAUUUCCUUUUCUUGUGAGGAGAUAGGAAUAGAAUGGCUGUAUCACAUGGUAAAUGUAUAACUUCUUUUUGAGCCCAGGUCUCACUCUGUCAUUCAGGCUGGAGUUCAGUGGCCCACUGCAGCCUUAACAUCCCAGUCUCAAGCAAUCCUCUCACCUCAGCCUCCUGAGUAGCUGGGACCACAGGUGCCAGCCAUAACACCUCACUAAUUUUUUUUUUUUUUUUUUUGAGACAGAGUCUUGUUAUGUUGCCUGGGCUGUAGUGCUAUGGGGGAAUCUCAGCUCACUUCAACCUCUGCCUCCCAGGCUCAAGCGAUUCUCCUGCCUCAGCCUCCCAAGUAGCUGGGACUACAGGCACACACCACCAUGCUUGGCUAAUUUUUGUAUUUUUAGUAGAGAUGAAGUUUCACCAUUUUGGCCAGGCUGGUCUCAAACUCCUGACCUAGUGAUCUGCCUGCCUUGGCCUCCCAAAGUGCUGGGAUUACAGGCAUGAGCCACCACGCCCAGCCCACUAAUUUUUUAAGUUUUUGUAGAGAUGGGGUCUUGCCAUGUUGCCCAGGCUGGUCUUGAACUCCUGGGCUUAAGUGAUCCUCCCACCUCAGCCUCUCAAAGUGGUAGGAUUACAGGUGUAAGCCACCACGCUUGACCAUUUUUUGUAGAGACAAGGUCUUCUCACUGUGUUGCACAGGCUGGUCUUGAACUCCUUGGGCUCAAACAAUCCUCCCACCUUGGCCUCCCAAAGUACGGGGAUCACCGGCAUGAGCCACCAUGUCUGGCUGUAUGUUUAACUUUUUAAGAAACUUCCCGGCCAGGCGCAGUCGCUCACGCCUGUAAUCCGAGCACUUUGUGAGGCCGAGGCGGGCGGAUCACAAGGUCAGGAGAUCGAGACUUUCCUGGCUAAACGGUGAAACCCCAUCUCUACUAAAAAUAUAAAAAAUUAGCUGGGCGUGGUGGCGGGUGCCUGUAGUCCCAGCUAUUCGGGACACUGAGGCAGGAGAAUGGCGUGAACCCGGGAGGCGGAGCUUGCAGUGAGCCGAGAUUGCGCCACUGCACUCCAACCUGGGCAACAGAGCAAGACUCCAUCUCAAAAAGAAAACAAAAACAAAAAAAAAAGAAGAAACUUCCCUUCUGGCCGGGCGCGGUGGCUCACGCCUGUAACCCCAACAUUUUGGGAGGCCGAGGCAGGUGGAUCCCCUGAGGUCAGGAGUUCAAGACUAGCCUAGCCAACAUGGCGAAACCCCGUCUCUACUAAAAAUACAAAAAAAUUAAGUGAUGUGGUGGCAGGCGCCUGUAAUCCCAGCUACCUGGGAGGCUGAGACAGGGAGAAUUGCUUGAACCCGAGAGGCAGAGGUUGCAGUGAGCCGAUAUCGAGCUACUACACUCCAGCCUGGGCAACAGAGCGAGACUCUGUGAAGAAAAAAAAAAAAGAAGAAACUUCCCUUCCACAUUAUUUUCCAAAAUGGUUGUACCAUUUUACAUUCUCAUCAGCAGUAUAUAAAGUUACUAAUUCCUGCACAUCUUCACCAGCAUUUGGUGUGUACAGUCUCUUUCAUUUUAGCUGUUUUAAUAGGUAUGUUCAUUGUGGUUUUAGGCGGGGUGCGGUGGCUCAAGCCUGUAAUCUCAGCACUUUGCGAGGGGUUUUACGUUUCUGCCUUCUGGAAACCUCUGUGGUUUGUUGAAAGAGUCACUUACACUUGCUGUGCCCUUGGCUUCACCCUUCACUCCUGUGCCCCUUAGUCUCACUCCUCUUUCCCCUCUCCACAGACUCCCUAAGGCCCCCUCAAAUCCAGGGGUAACAAAUCCAGGUGUCAUGUUACCCUGCAACUCACCCUGAAGCACUUGGCAUAAGUGCUGUUCCCCUUCAAAUUCUUCACCUACUAGGUUGUCAACCCUCUGAAAAGCCUUCCAGGGCCACGUGGGAGCCUCGUCUGGGUGCAUAUAGCUCCUCGGCCGCCUCCUGCUGUGGAUCUGAUGUGGUGUUGAAGUAUGAGACCUGGGUUUGUCUUCUCCCAGCUCUUCCACCAGUAGAAGUCCCCUCCAAGGGCAAGGCCUGGGUCUGCUCCUGCAGUGGUCCUUGCUCUGGACCUGGCAUAAAGGAGGGCUCCAGGAGGGUUUGCAGUUGAAUAUGUGAGAGAAAGCUCUCUGUCUCUUUUUUUUUUUUUUUUUUUGAGACGGAGUCUCACUCUGUCACCAGGCUAGAGUGCAAUGGUGUGAUCUCGGCUCACUGCAACCUCCACCUCCCGGGUUCAAGUGAUUCUUCUGCCUCAGCCUCCCAAGUAGCUGAGACUACAGGGGCAUGCCACCAUACCCAGCUAAUUUUUUGUAUUUUUAGUAGAGACGAGGUUUCAUCAUGUUGGACAGGCUGGUCUUGAACUCCUGACCUCAGGUGAUCCAUGCACCUGAGCCUCCCAAAGUGCUGGGAUUACAGGCAUGAGCCACUGCACCCGGCCGAGAAAGCUCUCUUAUUGUCUUUGCCCCUAGCUACAGAUAAGGCAACCACGGGGCAAGAAACUUACUGCGUAUUGAAGAGAAAAUCCCAGCUUCCUAUCCAGGCUUCAGGCAGGGCCCAUGCUAUGGCCUGGAGCCCCCUUUGACCUCAUCUGCUCCACUUGCCUCUUGCUUGCUGCUGGUCUUUUCUUCCCUGAACCCACCGUCCUGUUCCUGCCUCUCGCCCUUGGAAGUGUCUGGUCCUGCUGCUCUUCUCCCUGUUAAGCAUGUGACAAGGAAUCGUAUGCUUCAGGUCACAGGUUGAAAGCCCCCUUCUCGGGAAGACCUGCCUUGUCUUGUCCACCCAAUAUAAGUGUCUACUUGGUCACUAGCCACUGUCACUGGUCGUGAUUAUCUUACCAUCUGCCAUUUUCUCAUUUAUUUGUUUGUUUUCAGUUAAUAGAACAUUGCUUCAGGAGAGCAAGGAAUUUGUCUGCAGUUGCCCCUUAUUUCCUCAUGCCUAGCACAGUGUCCAGUGUUUAUGGGGGCCCCAUAUUGAAUGUGGAAUUUUGUUUUUUUUUUGAGACAGGGUUUCACUCUGUUGCCCAGGCUGGAGUGCAGUGGCAUGACCACAUCUCACUUCUUCCUUGACCUCUUGGGCUCAAGUGAUCCUCCCACCUCAGCCUCCUGAGUAGCUGGGACUGCAGGCAUAUGCCACCAUGGCUGGCUAAUUUUUUUAUUUUUUGUAGAGACAUGGGAGUCUCACCAUGUUCCCCAGGAUGGUCUCGAACUCCUGGGCUCAAGCAAUCUUUCUGCCUUUGCCUCUCAAAGUUCUAGGAUUACAAGCAUGAGCCAUUGCCUCAGCUGAAUAUUGAAUGUUUAAUAUAAUGAAUCAGGCCGGGCGCGGUGGCUCAUGACUGUAAUCUCAAUACUUUGGGAGACUGAGGCAGGCGGAUCAUUUGUGGUCAGGAGUUCUAGACUGGCCUGGCCAAUAUGGUGAAAAUCCUUCUCUACUGAAAAUAUAAAAAUUAGCCGGACAUGGUGGCAUGCACCUAUAAUCCCAGCUACUCGGGAGGCGGAGGCAGGAGAAUCGCUUGAACCUGGGAGGCAGAGGUUGCAGUGAGCCAAGAUCACACCACUGCACUCUAGCCUGGGUGACAGAGCGAGACUCCAUCUCAUAUAAAAAUAAAAAUAGUAUAGUGAAUCAGGCUGGGUGAGGUGGCUUAUACCUGUAAUCCCAGCACUUUAGGAGGCAUGAGGAUCACUUGAGCCCAGGAAUUUGAGACGAGCCUGGGCAACAUAGUAAGACCCUGACUCUACAAAAAAUUAAAAGUAAAAAAUUAACUGGGUGUCAUGGCUUGAACCUGUAAUCCUAGCUACUCGGGAGACUGAGGCAGGAGGAUUGCUUGAGCCUGGGAGGUCACAACUGCAGUGAGCCAUGAUCAUGUCACUGCACUCCAGCCUGAGUGACAGAGGAAGGAAGAACCUGUCUCAAAAAAUAAUAAUAAUAAUAAUAAUAUAGUGAAUCAGGGCAGAGCUAGAAAAACAACCCAGGUGUCUGGGCCUCUGGGCCAAGACUCUUCUCCUGUCUGGACUUCCCAGCCCUGCCACAGCGCGGCAAUAGUUUGACUAGGUUUUUGUGUCUUGGGUUGGGGGGGUCCCACCUGAUGGCAUAUGGUUCUGCCCAGGGCUCAACCUAUCAUUAUUUCCUCACAUCUUUGGGAAAAGUGCCACCAUACAGGGUCCUCCUAGGGCCCUCCACAGGGCUCAGGAGCCAGUGGGGCAAGAAGAGGUGCAGGCACAGGGACCAUCUUGAAUGGCCUAGCUGGACAGGGGCCUAGCCUGACUGUCCCCUGUUGUACAAAUGGGACAGAUGUCAAGAGGGGUUCAAAGUUACACAGUGAAUUGGCAGCUUCAAGGACCUAGAACCUACUUCUCUCUGAUAGUGAAAUUCCCCAAAUUAAAAAUUCAGAGAAUUGGCCGGGCGCGGUAUCUCACACUUGUAAUCCCAGCUCUUUGGGAGGCUGAGGUGGGCGGAUCACCUGAGGUCAGGAGUUUGAGACCAGCCUGGCCAACAUGGCGAAACUCUGUCUCUACUAAAAGUACAAAAAUUGGCCAGGCAUGGUGGCUCAUGCUUGUAACCCCAGC
rnacentral:lncRNA from 1 species